rnacentral:lncRNA from 1 species
GAAAUCCAAAGGAUCAGCCAGACAGCGUAUCCUGUUAUGUAACGAGGUCUAUACUGGAUGGUUCCAAAUAAGCCAAGUAUGACUACAAUAAUGUGUAUGAAAUUUGCCAAGAUGGGUGCCCACUGAUAACCAAGGAAGUCAAAUAUUUGCCUCUCGAGCACAGAAACCAGCUGCGCGCCGCACACCGCCACCAGCGUGCACCGGCCGCUGCAAUAGCCCAUGGCUCCCGGCACCCCGCGCCGCCGUCCCGCGCCGCGCCCACUCAGGCGGCGGGAGAGCACCGCCCG